UACGUAGGUGGCAAGCGUUAUCCGGAUUUAUUGGGCGUAAAGGGAACGCAGGCGGUCUUUUAAGUCUGAUGUGAAAGCCUUCGGCUUAACCGGAGUAGUGCAUUGGAAACUGGGAGACUUGAGUGCAGAAGAGGAGAGUGGAACUCCAUGUGUAGCGGUGAAAUGCGUAGAUAUAUGGAAGAACACCAGUGGCGAAAGCGGCUCUCUGGUCAGUAACUGACGCUGAGGUUCGAAAGCGUGGGUAGCAAACAGG
rnacentral:rRNA from 1 species